AGCAGCCGCGGUAAUUCCAGCUCCAAUAGCGUAUAUUAAAGUUGUUGCAGUUAAAAAGCUCGUAGUUGAAUUUCGGGAUUGGCGCAUCGGUCGUGCCUCACGGGGUAUGAACUGGUGCAGUCAAUUUCUCACCUUCUGGAGAACCGCGAUGUCCUUAAUUGGAUGCCGCGGGGAACCAGGACCUUUACUUUGAAAAAAUUAGAGUGUUUAAAGCAGGCAUUUUUGCUUGAAUACAUUAGCAUGGAAUAAUAAAAUAGGACGGCAUGGUCUAUUUUGUUGGUUUCUAGGACCACCGUAAUGAUUAAUAGGGAUAGUUGGGGGCAUUAGUAUUCAAUUGUCAGAGGUGAAAUUCUUGGAUUUAUUGAAGACUAACUACUGCGAAAGCAUUUGCCAAGGAUGUUUUCAUUAAUCAAGAACGAAAGUUAGGGGAUCGAAGACGAUCAGAUACCGUCGUAGUCUUAACCAUAAACUAUGCCGACUAGGAAUCAGACGAUGUUAAUUUUUUAAUGACUCGUUUGGC
rnacentral:rRNA from 1 species